rnacentral:rRNA from 1 species
UGGCUCAGAUUGAACGCUGGCGGUAUGCUUAACACAUGCAAGUCGAACGGAAACGAUGGAAGCUUGCUUCCAGGCGUCGAGUGGCGGACGGGGGAGUAAUACUUAGGAAUCUGCCCAGUAGUGGGGGACAACACGGGGAAACUCGUGCUAAUACCGCAUACGCCUUACGAGGGAAAGUGGGGGAUCUUCGGACCUCACGCUAUUGGAUGAGCCUAAGUCGGAUUAGCUUUUUGGGGGGGUAACGGCCUACCAAGGCGACGAUCCGUAGCUGGUCUGAGAGGACGAUCAGCCACACUGGGACUGAGACACGGCCCAGACUCCUACGGGAGGCAGCAGUGGGGAAUAUUGGACAAUGGGGGCAACCCUGAUCCAGCAAUACCGCGUGUGUGAAGAAGGCCUGCGGGUUUUAAAGCACUUUCAGUAGAGAAGAAAAAACCAAAGGCUAAUAACCUUCGGUCUUGACGUAACCUACAGAAGAAGCACCGGCUAACUCCGUGCCAGCAGCCGCGGUAAUACGGAGGGGGCAAGCGUUAAUCGGAAUUACUGGGCGUAAAGCGCGCGUAGGCGGUCUGGUCAGUCGGAUGUGAAAGCCCUGGGCUUAACCUGGGAAUUGCAUUCGAUACUGCCAAACUAGAAUGUUGGAGAGGGAAGUGGAAUUUCCGGGGUAGCGGGGAAAUGCGUAGAUAUCGGAAGGAACACCAGUGGCGAAGGCGGCUUCCUGGCCAAACAUUGACGCUGAGGGGCGAAAGCGUGGGUAGCGAACAGGAUUAGAUACCCUGGUAGUCCACGCCGUAAACGAUGAGAACUAGAUGUCGGGAGGGUUUAGCCUCUCGGGGUCGCAGCUAACGCGUUAAGUUUUCCGCCUGGGGAGUACGGGGGCAACACUAAAACUCAAGGAAUUGACGG